rnacentral:rRNA from 1 species
GACGAACGCUGGCGGCGUGCUUAACACAUGCAAGUCGAACGGAAAGGCCCUGCUUUUGUGGGGUGCUCGAGUGGCGAACGGGUGAGUAACACGUGAGUAACCUGCCCUUGACUUUGGGAUAACUUCAGGAAACUGGGGCUAAUACCGGAUAGGAGCUCCUGCUGCAUGGUGGGGGUUGGAAAGUUUCGGCGGUUGGGGAUGGACUCGCGGCUUAUCAGCUUGUUGGUGGGGUAGUGGCUUACCAAGGCUUUGACGGGUAGCCGGCCUGAGAGGGUGACCGGCCACAUUGGAAAUGAGAGACGGCCCAGACUCCUAAGGGAGGCAGCAGUGGGGAAUAUUGAAAAAGGGGCGGAAGCCUGAUGCAGCAACGCCGCGUGCGGGAUGAAGGCCUUCGGGUUGUAAACCGCUUUCGCCUGUGACGAAGCGUGAGUGACGGUAAUGGGUAAAGAAGCACCGGCUAACUACGUG